ensembl:lncRNA
UCCCUGGGGCGUGGCCUGGAAGGGUUUAUCUUCCUCCUGCUCCUCCUUCUGUCUGCUUCCUGGCCACCCUGCUGUGAGCAGCUCUCCUCCUCCCAGGCCCAUCCACCUCGCCCUUCUCCCUGGGAAUCACUGACCACAGAAGGACCUGGACUUCUACAACUGAUCGGAACUCAGGACCUCACAAGUGCAAGGGCCGCCCGAAGCCAUGCUCUUCCCGGCGGAGAGUGGGGGGGAACCGAGCCUCGCCAGCUGUUUUCUCCCGGACGCAGUGAACGGGCUGAUGCGUGAAUGUGGAAACCGCCAAAGCAGACCUCGGCGGCGACCUGGCACGAGCAGGAGGCCCAUCAGUAGGCCCGUGCCUCUGCCCAAUCCUCGGCCCAAUCCGAGGCCAAGUCCGAGGCCCAGUCCGAGGCCCAGUCCGAGGCCCAGUCCGAGGCCCAGUCCGCGGCCCAGCCCUGGACCCAGCCCUAGACCCAGCCCCGGGCAAAGCCCCAGGCCCAGCCCCGGGCCCAGCCCCGGGCCCAGCCCCAGGCCCAGCCCCAGGCAAAAUGUUUGGCCACCAACUAGAAAUAGGGGCCCAGUUUGUAGCAGCGCGCUCACCUUGAUUUCCUCCAAUCAGGAUCUUGGCCCCGCCCUCUGGGCUGAGCCUCCUUCCUGCAUCCCCACCCCUUUCCCCUGAAUGCCUGCGGAGCCCUGGAGUCCACGUACUAGGGACUAUCAUGCCUGACCUGAGUGAGGCCCUCUCAACAAACAUGCUGUCUUCAACAAGCAAGAAACCAUGAGAGGGUCAUGCUGCCCUCAGUGAACAGCACAGGUGGCCAUAAAAAAAAUUGAGGACAGGAUGUGCAAUCUCCCUGGCACCGAGAAGUCCGACAUUAUCUGCACACCUUCCCUGACCAUCCUGGGUACCUGGACCACAGCAUUCCACCCAGAUUCCUUAAGAGAGCACCCCUUCCCCAAGCCCUAUGAAACUUUGCUUCCCUCUGGCCAGUUGCUGACAUCUUUUCUGAUCUCAGCCCAUCUGCCCCCUGGUGGAGAAUAAACCAGCCUUUUGCUCACAAAGCCUGUGUCAAGCUGGUCUCUUGUGCAGCGUUUCUCACAGGGACUGAACCCCGGACCUUUGCACUGAGCUGCAUCCCCAGCACU